rnacentral:tRNA from 1 species
GCCUCUUUAGCUCAGUUGGCAGAGCAGCUCAUUCGUAAUGAGCAGGUCGCGGGUUCAAGUCCCGUGAGAGGCU